rnacentral:rRNA from 1 species
GAUUCGGAAACCCUUUUUUCGGGCCUUGGUAUCUGGAAUGAGUUAAGUAUAAACCCCUUUACAAGUAUCAAUUGGAGGGCAAGUCUGGUGCCAGCAGCCGCGGUAAUUCCAGCUCCAAUAGCGUAUAUUAAAGUUGUUGCAGUUAAAAAGCUCGUAGUUGGAUUUCUGUUAAUAAUUUAUAUAAAAUAUUUUGAUGAAUAUUUAUAUAAUAUUAACAUAAUUCAUAUUACUAUAUAUUUUAGUAUAUGAAAUUUUACUUUGAGAAAAUUAGAGUGCUUAAAGCAGGCAUAUGCCUUGAAUACUCCAGCAUGGAAUAAUAUUAAAGAUUUUUAUCUUUCUUAUUGGUUCUAAGAUAAGAAUAAUGAUUAAUAGGGACAGUUGGGGGCAUUUGUAUUUAACAGUCAGAGGUGAAAUUCUUAGAUUUGUUAAAGACAAACUAAUGCGAAAGCAUUUGCCAAGGAUGUUUUCAUUAAUCAAGAACGAAAGUUAGGGGAUCGAAGACGAUCAGAUACCGUCGUAGUCUUAACCAUAAACUAUGCCAACUAGAGAUUGGAGGUUGUUCCUUACUCCUUGAA